UACGUAGGAGGCGAGCGUUGUCCGGAGUUACUGGGCGUAAAGGGCGCGUAGGCGGCCGACUAAGUCAGACGUGAAAUCCCCAGGCUUAACCUGGGAACUGCGUCUGAUACUGGAUGGCUCGAGUUCGGGAGAGGGAAGUGGAAUUCCAGGUGUAGCGGUGAAAUGCGUAGAUAUCUGGAGGAACACCGGUGGCGAAGGCGGCUUCCUGGACCGACACUGACGCUGAGGCGCGAAAGCCAGGGGAGCAAACGGG
rnacentral:rRNA from 1 species